UACGGAGGGUGCAAGCGUUGUCCGGAAUCACUGGGCGUAAAGGGCGCGUAGGCGGCUCAUGAAGGCUGUGGUGAAAGUCCGGGGCUCAACCUCGGAUCGGCCGUGGCGACUCGUGGGCUGGAGCACUGUAGAGGCGGGUGGAAAUCCGGGUGUAGCGGUGGAAUGCGUAGAGAUCCGGAAGAACACCAGUGGCGAAGGCGGCCCGCUGGGCAGUGGCUGACGCUGAGGCGCGACAGCGUGGGGAGCAAACAGG
rnacentral:rRNA from 1 species